UGAGGUAAAUCGAUUAAUGUUUUUGGUAAGCUGCAAUGUUUGGACUGCAAAGUGAAUGAUUUUUGUGCCCUCGAUAUUUUUGGGCUUAAUGGGCUAAAAUUGGAAUGAUGGGCCAACGGGUCCAAUUCGGAAAUCCCCAACCAUAGUGGGCUUGGAGCUGUGAGGGAAUUCGGAGUGGCCACCCGUUCUGAAAGUUUGAUUUUCUUCUGGUGAACUAGACAUCCUUUUAUUUACAUUUGAAGUUUUGGGUUUUUAAAUGUAAUAAGGCCGCUUAAUUA